rfam:Tolypothrix sp. PCC 7601 strain TTEX B 481 genomic scaffold FDTTEX481_Contig1, whole genome shotgun sequence.
UGGUAGAUGCACCCUGAUAACUCACUCCUCUGGUUGAUAAAAUCGGUGGAGUUUUUUAUU